CAUUUUAGAAAAGCCAACUGAUCCAAAUGAAGAUAGCGACUACUGUGAUAUGAAGUCAGUUAAAACUACAGCAUCGUCUGGGCCAGUUGAUGUAACCUAUGCUGAGAUUGACCUAAAAAAGAAAAAAUCAACACCCCACCAGAGUCAGAAUCAGUCUAUUCUCCAAUAAAGACACAGUCCUUGAGGGAGAUGAACACAAUCAACCACACUCUCCCUGUAACACAGAAAUGUGACACACACAUCACACACCCAGUCACAUAUGGACCACACACACAAUAAUGCCUUAUACAUGAAGGAUUUCUAUCAUACUAUGUUAUCAACUGAUACACUUUUUUUUAAAUCUGUUACUUUAAAAAAACAAUAACUUGGGGUAAUAGUAGUGAUUAUUCUACUUGCAGCUAGAGAGAUUGUUUUAUUUUGUUAUUGUACUGUAGUUUUGUAAAUCUAUUGACAUGUGUCAUCUUUGACUUGUUGGUUAUGACAUUCAAAUGAUUUAAUCAAA